rnacentral:sRNA from 1 species
AUUGACGUGCACCCAAACAUAGUGCCCAUAGAGAACACCACAGCUCAGAGAUUAUAUGUAGUGUGGGAGCCAGGAAAGACGCUGUAGAGGGGCAUUUGGGCUAGGCAGGACAGGCAGGCUGUGGACAGGAAGAGAAGAAGGGAGGACCAUUCCUGGUGGAGGACAAAGCCUGGAGGCAGAUAAGCACAGAGAGGCAGGGCCCCAAGAUGCUGGCCUAGCCAGGGCACCUAGCUGAGGAGUGUGAGUGGCAGAAGCCACUGGCAUCUGAGCAGGGUGAGGGCUGGAUGGGGCUGGGAGGACCUCCUUGCAGGUGGGGGAGAAAGGGCUAUUAGAACCCAGGGUGAGGCAGGGCGCGGUGGCUCACACCUGUAAUCCCAGCACUUUGGGAGGCCGAGGCAGGCUUUGCAGACCUGACAGACGCUGCUGCCCGCAACGCGGAGCUGCUCCGCCAGGCCAAGCACGAGGCCAACGACUACCGGCGCCAGUUGCAGUCCUUGACCUGCGACCUGGAGUCUCUGCGCGGCACGAACGAGUCCCUGGAGAGGCAGAUGCGCGAGCAGGAGGAGCGCCAC